UACGUAGGGGUGCGAGCGUUAAUCGGAAUUACUGGGCGUAAAGGGUGCGCAGGCGGUUAUAUAAGACAGAUGUGAAAUCCCCGGGCUCAACCUGGGAACUGCGUUUGUGACUGUAUGACUAGAGUACGGUAGAGAGGGGUGGAAUUCCUGGUGUAGCAGUGAAAUGCGUAGAUAUCAGGAGGAACAUCGAUGGCGAAGGCAGCCCCUUGGACCUGUACUGACGCUCAUGCACGAAAGCGUGGGGAGCAAACAGG
rnacentral:rRNA from 1 species